UACAUGGGUGUCCAUUUAACUUGGAACCCAAACUUCUCAAUUCUAACUUUGUGCAUCUGUAUUAAUGGCGAGCAACUUCGGUUGUGAGCCUUCACUUACAAAACACUAGUCUAUGAAUGUAAAAUUUUUAUAACAAAUAAAAACUUUCAACAACGGAUCUCUUGGCUCUCGCAUCGAUGAAGAACGCAGCGAAAUGCGAUACGUAAUGUGAAUUGCAGAAUUCAGUGAAUCAUCGAAUCUUUGAACGCAUCUUGCGCUCUCUGGUAUUCCGGAGAGCAUGUCUGUUUGAGUGUCAUGAAUUCUUCAACCCAAUCUUUUCUUGUAAUCGAUUGGUGUUUGGAUUCUGAGCGUUGCUGGCUUUAUUGCUCAGCUCGUUCGUAAUACAUUAGCAUCCCUAAUACAAGUUUGGAUUGACUUGGCGUAAUAGACUAUUCGCUAAGGAUUCGGUGGAAACAUCGAGCCAACUUCAUUAAGGAAGCUCCUAAUUUAAAAGUCUACCUUUUGAUUAGAUCUCAAAUCAGGCAGGAUUACCCGCUGAACUUAAGCAUAUCAAUGGGGGAAGU
rnacentral:rRNA from 1 species